GACGAACGCUGGCGGCGUGGAUUAGGCAUGCAAGUCGAACGGUAGGAUACCUUCGGGUAUCUGAGAGUGGCGAACGGGUGAGUAACACGUAGGUGAUCUACCCUCAAGAUUGGGACAACCCAGGGAAACUUGGGCUAAUACCGGAUGAAAGCAGCAGUGAUGUUGUUUGAAAGGUGGCGUAAGCUGCCGUUUGGGGAUGAGCCUGCGCUCUAUUAGUUAGUUGGCGGGGUAAAGGCCCACCAAGGCGAUGAUAGAUAGGCGGCCUUAACGGGUGGUCGCCCACACUGGGAUUGAGAUACGGCCCAGACUCCUACGGGAGGCAGCAGUCGAGAAUAGUCUACAAUGGCCGAAAGGCUGAUAGUGCGACGCCGCGUGAACGAAGAAGCCCUUCGGGGUGUAAAGUCCUUUUAUAUGUGAGCAGUGCUUUCUAUGUGAACAGCAUGGGGAGAGAGAUAUUAGCAUAUGAAUAAGCAACGGCUAACUCCGUGCCAGC
rnacentral:rRNA from 1 species